AGCGCAGGCGGGAGAACAAGUUGGAAGUGGAAUCCAUGGGCUCAACCCAUGAACUGCUUUCAAAACUGUUUUUCUUGAGUAGUGCAGAGGUAGGCGGAAUUCCCGGUGUAGCGGUGGAAUGCGUAGAUAUCGGGAGGAACACCAGUGGCGAAGGCGGCCUACUGGGCACCAACUGACGCUGAGGCUCGAAAGUGUGGGUAGCAAACA
rnacentral:rRNA from 1 species